rnacentral:rRNA from 1 species
UAGGGAAUCUUCCACAAUGGACGCAAGUCUGAUGGAGCAACGGCCGCGUGAGUGAAGAAGGUUUUCGGAUCGUAAAGCUCUGUUGUAAGUCAAGAACGGGUGUGAGAGUGGAAAGUUCACACUGUGACGGUAGCUUACCAGAAAGGGACGGCUAACUACGUGCCAGCAGCCGCGGUAAUACGUAGGUCCCGAGCGUUGUCCGGAUUUAUUGGGCGUAAAGCGAGCGCAGGCGGUUUGAUAAGUCUGAAGUUAAAGGCUGUGGCUCAACCAUAGUUCGCUUUGGAAACUGUCAAACUUGAGUGCAGAAGGGGAGAGUGGAAUUCCAUGUGUAGCGGUGAAAUGCGUAGAUAUAUGGAGGAACACCGGUGCGAAAAGCGGCUCUCUGGUCUGUAACUGACGCUGAGGCUCGAAAGCGUGGGGAGCGAACAGGAUUAGAUACCCUGGUAGUCCACGCCGUAAACGAUGAGUGCUAGGUGUUGGAUCCUUUCCGGGAUUCAGUGCCGCAGCUAACGCAUUAAGCACUCCGCCUGGGGGAGUACGACCGCAAGGUUGAAACUCUAAAGUGAAUUGAC